CCUACGGGAGGCAGCAGUGGGGAAUAUUGCACAAUGGGGGAAACUCUGAUGCAGCGACGCCGCGUGCGCGAUGAAGUCUCUCGGUAUGUAAAGCUCCAUCAGUAGGGAAGUAGACGACGGUACCUGACUAUGUAUCCCCGGCUAACUACGUGCCAGCAGCCGCGGUAAUAUGUAGGGGGCAAGCGUUAUCCGGAUUUACUGGGUGUAAGGGGAGCGUAGACGGCGUUGCAAGCCAGAGGUGAAAGCCCGGGGCUCAACCCCGGGACUGCAUUUGGAACUGUGUGGCUGGAGUGUCGUAGAGGCAGGCGGAAUGCCUAGUGUAGCGGUGAAAUGCGUAGAGAUUAGACAGAACACCAGUGGCGAAGGCAGCCUACUGAGCGAUGGCUGACGUUGAGGCUCGAAAGCGUGGGGAGCAAACAGGAUUAGAUACCCGAGUAGUC
rnacentral:rRNA from 1 species